GAUUGAACGCUGGCGGCAUGCCUAACACACGCAAGUCGAACGGAAGCAAGGGGCAACUCUUGCUUCAGUGGCGGACGGGUGAGUAAUACGUAGGAAUCUUCCCUUAAGUGGGGGACAACCCGGGGAAACUCGGGCUAAUACCGCAUAAUCUCUAUGGAGCAAAGAAGGGGACCUUCGGGCCUUUCGCUUUAGGAUGAGCCUACGUCGGAUUAGCUAGUUGGUAGGGUAAAGGCCUACCAAGGCAACGAUCCGUAGCUGGUCUGAGAGGACGGCCAGCCACACUGGGACUGAGACACGGCCCAGACUCCUACGGGAGGCAGCAGUGGGGAAUUUUGGACAAUGGGGGAAACCCUGAUCCAGCAAUGCCGCGUGUGUGAAGAAGGCCUUCGGGUUGUAAAGCACUUUUAGUGGGGAAGAAAGGCUCAAGGCUAAUAUCCUUGAGCGUUGACAUUACCCAAAGAAAAAGCACCGGCUAACUCUGUGCCAGCAGCCGCGGUAAUACAGAGGGUGCGAGCGUUAAUCGGAAUUACUGGGCGUAAAGCGCAUGUAGGUGGAUUUUUAAGUCGGGUGUGAAAGCCCCGGGCUCAACCUGGGAAUCGCAUUCGAUACUGAAUAUCUGGAGUAUGGUAGAGGGAAGUGGAACUUCCGGUGUAGCGGUGAAAUGCGUAGAUAUCGGAAAGAACAUCAGUGGCGAAAGCGUCUUCCUGGACCAAUACUGACACUAAAGUGCGAAAAGCGUGGGGAGCAAACAGGAUUAGAUACCCCGGUAGUCCACGCCGUAAACGAUGAGAACUGGGCGCUGGGGAGCUUUGUCUCUUUAGUGCCGAAGCUAACGCGUUAAGUUCUCCGCCUGGGGAGUACGGCCGCAAGGCUAAAACUCAAAGGAAUUGACGGGGGCCUGCACAAGCGGUGGAGCAUGUGGUUCAAUUCGAUGCAACGCGAAAAACCUUACCUACUCUUGACAUCCUCGGAACCUUGCAGAAAUGUGAGGGUGCCUUCGGGAACCGAGAGACAGGUGCUGCAUGGCCGUCGUCAGCUCGUGUCGUGAGAUGUUGGGUUAAGUCCCGCAACGAGCGCAACCCUCGCCCUUAGUUGCCAGCAUUUAGUUGGGCACUCUAAGGGGACUGCCGGUGAUAAGCCGAGAGGAAGGUGGGGAUGACGUCAAGUCCUCAUGGCCCUUACGGGCUGGGCUACACACGUGCUACAAUGGUGGUGACAGUGGGCAGCGAGCACGCGAGUGUGAGCUAAUCUCCAAAAGCCAUCUCAGUUCGGAUUGCACUCUGCAACUCGAGUGCAUGAAGUUGGAAUCGCUAGUAAUCGCGGAUCAGCAUGCCGCGGUGAAUACGUUCCCGGGCC
rnacentral:rRNA from 1 species